UACGUAGGCAGCGAGCGUUGUUCGGAGUUACUGGGCGUAAAGAGUUCGUGGGCGGUUUUCUAAGUUUGGUGUGAAAUCUCCCGGCUCAACUGGGAGGGUGCGCCGAAGACUGGAAGACUAGAGUGUGGGAGAGGUAAGCGGAAUUCCUGGUGUAGCGGUGAAAUGCGUAGAUAUCAGGAGGAACACCUGCGGUGUAGACGGCUUACUGGACCACCACUGACGCUGAGGCACGAAAGCGUGGGUAGCAAACAGG
rnacentral:rRNA from 1 species